rnacentral:tRNA from 1 species
GCGCGAUAGCUCAGUUGGUAGAGCAACGGACUGAAAAUCCGUGUGUCACUGGUUCGAUUCCAGUUCGUGCC